rnacentral:rRNA from 1 species
GACAGAGGGUGCAAACGUUGCUCGGAAUUACUGGGCGAAAGCGCGUGUAGGCGGUCACGCAAGUCAGGUGUGAAAGCCCAGGGCUCAACCCUGGAAGUGCACAUGAUACUACGUGGCUGGAGUACUGAAGAGGAGAGCGGAAUCCCGGUGUAGAGGUGAAAUUCGUAGAUAUCGGGAGGAACACCAGUGGCGAAGGCGGCCUGCUGGGCAGUAGCUGACACUGAGGCGCGCAGCG